rnacentral:lncRNA from 1 species
CUCCAUCACAAGGUGGAGUCUCUUGUUCUUCAUCAGACAAACAUAACUGAGAUUCACUAGAGGAAGAGUCCUCAUUGUCACUACCAUGCUCAAGCAUAUAGGUUGACCUCUACUCAGUAGAAUAGUGUCCUCUUUCCCCACACUUAAAACACCUGGUCUCCCUACUCUUUGAAUUUCGUGAGGGCUCCUUGUUAUUCAUGGCUUUCUCUUUCCCUUGUUCUCUUCUUAAAUCUCUUGGUGUGUCUCUUCCAAACUCUCUUUUUAACUCACGCUCUUUGCCUUUGGCUCUUUCUUUUUAUCUUUCGCGAUUAUCUUCAUACCUUGAAUAACUACCCU